GGAUACGUAGUUUAGUGGUCAAAAUACGAGCACAUGUGGAAACGGUUCGGUACUCGCAACCCGGGUAUCGAUUACGAAGUACUGGUGCGGACUUUCGCAAGAGCGACUGUCUUAUCGAACCCCAGGUUCGACUCCUGGCGUAUCCC